UUUGCGACUUUUUUUGGUUUCGUUUUUGAUUGUGGUACGUCUGGCGCGCAGAAGAGCUCGCGGGCGACUAAGUGCACUGCUGCUAUAUAGAUUAUGUUGAAUGUGACCAAGCAUUGCGUUGCGUUGUCGAGUCUAGCACGUAGUACAUACUAUGUCAGUGACUCCAUAAUAGUUUUUUU